UGUGAGGGGCUGACGUGGCUCUCUCUGCCUGAUGCCAUUUACAUACUGAGGAACACCCAGUCAGACUCUCACAGGCUGCAGCUUUAUAAAGCAGAGCCCAGUGAAGGGAGAGUUUAUCAGGAACCCGGCACAGGGACAGGAGCACACACCAUGAUUUCACACCUCCAGCUGAUCUGGCCCCUGGCAUUCUGUGUCGCAGGUAUCAGUGGGGACAUCAUCAUGACGCAGUCUCCCCCGGUGCUGUCAGUGGGACUGGGCCAGACUGCAACCAUCACCUGUAAAUCCAGUCAGAGUGCCAGUGGUGAUGUUGAAUGGUACCAGCAGCGAGAAGGUCAGAAACCCUCUCUCCUGAUCUACGAUGCAGCAACACGAUACACAGGAGUCUCCAGCAGAUUCACCGGGAGAGAAGUGUCCAGCACACACUUCACCCUGACAAUCAGCAACGUUCAGAACGAGGAUGUCGCUGAUUAUUACUGUAUGCAGAGUGAGAGCUGGCCGCUUACGUUUGGUAAAGGAACCAAGCUCAGACUGAGUAAGUAAACCUCAUUCCUCCGU